GCUGACACUGGUUCAAUGAAAUUGCGUCCCCGUCGUAAGUUAUGGGAUAUUAUUACAGUUUUCAACGAUUGAGCUAUGUGGAAAUUAAUAAGUUUGAAAUCAAUACGUUUAGGUUUUUCCCCUUUCAAUACUUACGGUGUCUUUUAACGGAAAAUCUUAAAAAUACCUUUAGUGUACGUUUAUUAGUUUAAUUACUCAAUCGUUGGUGAUUCUAGGAGAAAAGAAUUACAGUUUGGUUCUAGAUUUUCCUUUAAAUGAACAGAUUUCAAAGGAAAACGUAUUGCAAUUCGCUUACGGUUUCUAUGGUACUAUUACGGUUUCAAUAGGUUUGUCGCAUCAACAAUUCCACAGUUACCGAAUACGUACCUAUUUUCACCUACUUUCGAUUUCUUGCUUCAAUAGUUGUUAAUUAUAGUCUAACUGAUUUUGGCAAUAUAAUCAUGGGGCAAAUCCUUCCUUAUCAUCGUUAAGGAAAGAACCACGUAGUAGUAACUAAUUUACCAUUACACGGUUUGACGCACCAACAAUUGCGGCAAUUAGCCGACAACAACCAAAAAUCAAGCGCUUCUAGACGAACUGUGAUGAGACAAAGAUUCCAUCUGGAAUUCCAGAAUUCGACAACCGACGGUGAAACGGAAGUUAAAUUCCAGCAGAAUGGGCAAUCCGAAUAAUAACUGUUUGACUAACCUUUGUUGGACCGAGAAGCAAAACUUUGGCUGCGUUCGUCAUCGCAGGUCGGUACGUAGAGUGUGUUUACCAAUCUCAAAUGUUACCAUGGUUACGGCUGUCGGCAAGUGUAUUCUCGUUUUUAGCGUAAAACUAUAACAUCGACUACUUGAUCGUUUGAGUAACAACGUAGAUAUGUUUCAUGUACUGUUAUUGAUUACAGAUUUGGUAGAUAUUU